rnacentral:rRNA from 1 species
CAACAGGGAUUGCCCUAGUAACGGCGAGUGAAGCGGCAACAGCUCAAAUUUGAAAUCUGGCCCUUUCAGGGUCCGAGUUGUAAUUUGUAGAGGGUGCUUUGGCGUUGGCUGCGGUCUAAGUUCCUUGGAACAGGACGUCACAGAGGGUGAGAAUCCCGUACGUGGCCGCUAGCCCUCGCCGUGUAAAGCCCCUUCGACGAGUCGAGUUGUUUGGGAAUGCAGCUCUAAAUGGGAGGUAAAUUUCUUCUAAAGCUAAAUACUGGCCAGAGACCGAUAGCGCACAAGUAGAGUGAUCGAAAGAUGAAAAGCACUUUGGAAAGAGAGUCAAAAAGCACGUGAAAUUGUUGAAAGGGAAGCGCUUGCAGCCAGACUUGCCUGUAGUUGCUCAUCCGGGCUCUCGCCCGGUGCACUCUUCUGCGGGCAGGCCAGCAUCAGUUUAGGCGGCCGGACAAAGACCUCUGUCACGUAUCUUCCUUCGGGAUGACCUUAUAGGGGAGGUGUAAUGCGGCCAGCCUGGAUUGAGGCCCGCGCAUCUGCUAGGAUGCUGGCGUAAUGGCUGUAAGCGGCCCGUCUUGAAACACGGACCAAGGAGUCUAACAUCUAUGCGAGUGUUUGGGUGUCAAGCCCGGACGCGCAAUGAAAGUGAACGGAGGUGGGAACCCCUCGGGGCGCACCAUCGACCGAUCCUGAUGUCUUCGGAUGGAUUUGAGUAAGAGCAUAGCUGUUGGGACCCGAAAGAUGGUGAACUAUACUUGAAUAGGGUGAAGCCAGAGGAAACUCUGGUGGAGGCUCGCAGCGGUUCUGACGUGCAAAUCGAUCGUCAAAUUUGAGUAUAGGGGCGAAAGACUAAUCGAACUAUCUAGUAGCUGGUUC